rnacentral:rRNA from 1 species
AACGAACGCUGGCGGCGCGCCUAAUACAUGCAAGUCGAGCGAGAAGGUGUAGCAAUACACUUGUAAAGCGGCGAACGGGUGAGGAAUGCAUGGGUAACCUACCCUCGAGUGGGGAAUAACUAGCCGAAAGGUUAGCUAAUACCGCAUACGUUUCCGGAACUUCGGUUUCGGAAAGAAAGCAAUACCGUGGGUAUUGCGCUCCUGGAUGGGCUCAUGUCCUAUCAGCUUGUUGGUGAGGUAACGGCUCACCAAGGCUUCGACGGGUAGCUGGUCUGAGAGGACGAUCAGCCACACUGGCACUGCGACACGGGCCAGACUCCUACGGGAGGCAGCAGUAAGGAAUAUUGCGCAAUGGACGAAAGUCUGACGCAGCGACGCCGCGUGGGGGAUGAAGGUCUUCGGAUUGUAAACCCCUUUCGGGAGGGAAGAUGGAGUGGGUAACCACUUGGACGGUACCUCCAGAAGCAG